GACAGGGAGGCCUGGCGUGCUGCGAUUCAUGGGGUCGCAAAGAGUCGGACUCGACUGAGCGACUGAACUGAACUGAACUGAACUGAGGGGAACUGAGAUCCCACAUAUCCUGUAGUGUGGGCAAAAAAUUUAAAAAAACAAGCAACAGCAACAAAAAAAGAGGAACUGGCUGACUGGGCUGGAGACCUCCAGGGAGACUCUCAUAUGUAAUUAGCAAAUCCUUCAUCAGCCUGGGUCUCUAAGUGACUGCGUGGAGCAGAGCAUUCCAUACCCUCAUCACCAACCAGGAUGACUUGAGAUUGCACUGGGCUCUUAAGCACAGCACAAAGUGAAGGUCAAUCAGCGCAUAAUUGUAGGAACAUUGCUGUGUUGAAAGCAGACUUCAUUACCCUCCGUAAGUGCUACCUGAUAUUGACUGAGACAUCAUAAGGAGAACAAAAGCUUAAUGCAUCCUGCAUAUUUUGCAAUGCAAUGUAUUGUCAUU
ensembl:lncRNA